rnacentral:rRNA from 1 species
GAUGAACGCUGGCGGUCUGCUUAACACACGCAAGUCGAACGGAAUCCUUCGGGAUUUAGUGGCGGACGGGUGAGUAACGCGUGAGAAUCUGCCUUCAGGUUCGGGACAACAGCUGGAAACGGCUGCUAAUACCGGAUGUGCCGAGAGGUGAAAGCUUUAGUGCCUGAAGAUGAGCUCGCGUCUGAUUAGCUAGUAGGAGUGGUAAUGGCACCCCUAGGCGACGAUCAGUAGCUGGUCUGAGAGGAUGAUCAGCCACACUGGGACUGAGACACGGCCCAGACUCCUACGGGAGGCAGCAGUGGGGGAUUUUCCGCAAUGGGCGCAAGCCUGACGGAGCAAGACCGCGUGAGGGAAGAAGGUCUGUGGAUUGUAAACCUCUUUUGAUGGGGAAGAAGACAGUGACGGUACCCAUCGAAUCAGCCUCGGCUAACUCCGUGCCAGCCGCCGCAGUAA